GAUGAAGAACGUAGCGAAAUGCGAUAAGUAAUGUGAAUUGCAGAAUUCAGUGAAUCAUCGAAUCUUUGAACGCACCUUGCGCCCUUUGGCCAUUCCGAAGGGCAUGCCUGUUUGAGUAUCAUGAACACCUCAACUCUUCAUGGUUUUCCAUGAUGAGCUUGGACUUUGGGGGUCUUGCUGGCCUGUGGGUCGGCUCCUCUCAAAUGAAUCAGCUUGCCGGUUUUUGGUGGGCAUCACAGGUGUGAUAACUAUCUACGCUUGUGGUUUUCCACCAGGGUAACCUUCAGCAGUGGAGGUUCACUGGAGCUUACAAAUGUCUCUCCUCUGUGAGGACAGCCCUUUGAAUGUUUGAUCUCAAAUCAGGUAGGACUACCCGCUGAACUUAAGCAUAUCAAUACGGAGGA
rnacentral:misc_RNA from 1 species